rnacentral:lncRNA from 1 species
CUGUUUUUAAUUUCCUUGCCAGAGCAGUUUUUAUCUACCUUUUACUUUCUUGGACUGUUUUUUACAGCCUUGUGGAUUUUCUUUACCUGGGGUUGUUGGGUGUUUUUAUUAAAGGAAUUAUUUCCAUCUCACCAGGCAGAAUCACAGCAAGACAGCACCCAAGUGGAUCUUUUAUGGAGAGUGAACAUGGAACCACAUAAAAUGAACUUGAGUGGCUAUGGGGAUUUUCCUCUCUCGUAUACUUUUCCUCUGGACUUACAACACAGAAGUCAAAAUAAUUUUCUAACCAGGAUGUGUGACAGAGGCUGGCACAUAAGAAAAGUGCCAGACUGAAGAGUAUGCUGAUCAUCUUGAUGGAGGAGGGGCCCUAAGGGAUUGGAAUCUUGAGGAAGAGAGACUCUGGCUGGUAGAGAAGUUGGUCUCUCAGUCUUGAAAAGCUGAAGAGAGAAGAUGGAAAAAGGCUUUCUCCUGAGGGUUACCUACCUUUCCUGCUGGUGACUGGAAUUCUUUCCCCCCAACAUUUCCCAGUUGAAAAGACUAUUGAAGAGGAAGUGUGAAAAAGACAUUUUAAAUCUCUUUCCAACUUUACUUCCUGAGUCUGAACUGUGGCCAAGGGGCCAAACCCAGGGUGAGUCAACCUGACUUUCUUUCAGGUGGCUCAGGCUACCAAGGCCUGAGUUCCCCCCAAAUUCAAGGAGGGAGGGAAAAGGGUUUUAGAUAGAGACAGGGACCCCCAUUUCCCAUUUUCCUGUCCCAUUAUUUCUCUGCUAGUUAUUCUUUGUUAACCACUGGUGGAAUUGACAUUAAAAGUUAUCUGUUCCCCAAGCUGUGAAUCAAGUGUGAGUGAACAGAUCAAGGGGAAACCCUCUGGUCUCUAGUACUGGAUAGGGCGCAAGAGGGUCAAGAGCACAUCAGGGAGAGCAGCCUUAGCUAAGGAGGGAAGGCAGAACGGGGGAAAUCUUUCAAUCGCCUCUCCUCUCUCUGAGCCAACCCCUAACAUUAGCUAUCUCACAUGAAAUCCACUUUUGGAGAGUGGGUCUUCACUUGUUCUCUCUAUACUGAAAGUCUUACCCCUCUAGUACAAAUAAAUAACCCCUCAAAUACA